CAUUUGCAGGUGUGUGAUAAUUCCGAUCUCUGACAUUGUUUAUUUGGCUUUGUCAGCCUUCCCAUGUGAAUGGGAUGCCCUUUGUUUGUUCAUCAGUUCAAAAAAGAUAGUUUGAGUUCAAUUAUCGCAGUUUAUUAACAUCUCUAGUUAUUCACCUGUUCGUAUCUGCAUGCAAAAAAGUAAAUAACUUGGGACAGAAAGUGCAGUAACGUAAAAGAGAGACAUAGUUUAUCAGGAACUUGGAGUCAUGUAUAUUUGAUCGAUUCACUAUUCACUAAAACGUUGUUUCUUUACAGUUGGGAUCAUUUACAAGUAUGAUUUUUCAUGAUAUAAUUACAAGAUGUUGAGAAUGGAGGCUCUUGUUUUGAUCAAGCACCUAAAGAGGGACUCAACUCCUUCUUCAAGAUCUUGAAUGCAUGGCUGCAAGUUCUUCAGAAGAGCUUGGAUUUCCUCACUGGAUUUGCUUGUCUUCAAACAGGCAUCCACUUCUGCAAAUUCGUUUUCUGAUGCUGCAAUAACUCUUUUUGCCAUCAGCUUGGAGACCAAAGACCAGCUGCUUGACUUGGAGUUUGAUUGAGAAAUGAAUGACAACAGGUUCUCCAACACCUCAACAACAAUGGAUUCAGCUUCUCUUAACAUGUCGAUUGCAUCGAUGUUGCUGGAAGAAGUAGAUUUCUUGGUUUCAUAACCCUUCAAGGCCUUUUGGAUUGCUUUCUUCACAGUCUUCCUUGAGUUGAGGUACCUUCUGGUUUCUGCUAUCAGAUCUCCUUGCCUUCUACGAAUGGCGGAUUGAAGUUCACAAACCGACUCUUUCGUUAGAGACAAGGCAUCCUUGGCUGCGUUGCAUAGAUCCAAGAGUCUCAGAGAUCCAUCUAGUAGCUCGUUUUGGUCAUGGAUCAUGGCUUGUUGAGUUGAUGGAAGUUGAAUCAACUUGUCAACACAAUCAUAGACAUCCUGAAGACCAUUAAGCCUGUUGCUUAUGGAUGAUGAUGAUGAUGAUGAUGAUGUAUAGGCAGAUUGAGAUUGUCUCAACCUGCAAAGCUGAUCCUCAAACUCCGAAACGAGAGGGUGUGAUCUUGAAGGGAAACUGUUGGAUCGAGCGUGGAAGGUGACGGCUGCCAUUUUUGUAUGUUUGGUGGUGAAUAUGAGAAAGAUGAGAGAAGUUUUUUCUCUUCAAGGUUGAGAAAGGUUGAUGUAGAUGAGAUGAAAUGGCUGAUCACAACAGCAAGAAUAUAUAGAGGAUGGGAAGGAGGAAGGUUGAAUGAAGACUUUUUUUUCUUUUGGUAAAAAGGUUGAAUGAAGACUUGAAGGGAACAGAAAGAGACAGCAGGAACCAAAGGCAAAUUAUCUAAUUUAUCCAUGUGCAUUCUUCUGCGGGUUGAUGCAUUUGAUUUUGGAUCCAACAAAAUGCUAACAGUUUGGUCUAAGAAAUGUCCCUUGCCUACCAAAUACUCCAGCUCAUUUGUCCUCAGUGUAUUUCAUUGAUCGUUGAGGCUAGUUCUGAGGCAAGAUCCUUAUAUGUAGCUGCUACACUGCAUUGUUUAUUGCUACCUCUCUCUCUUUCUAGUUUUCCAAAAUGAAAAGUCUUUGUUUUGGAACCAUAAAUUAAUGUUGGUCAUGCCACACGAGUGCUUCAUCACCCAGUUGGACCAAUAGGGAGACACCACGCUGGCAGCUUUCAUGGAAAGAGAGGCUGAAGUGAUGAUGGCCCCUUUUGCAGACAACAACCAGAAUGCUAAUGGCUAUAUGAUGAUGAAGUUGGCGCAGCCUCUAAUUUCAAGUUGCCAGAGCCUCAAGUACAACCUACAAAUGCAGAAUUGGGUGUGGAGAGCUCUCAAAGGUGGUUCCCAGUUCGAGUUUCGUAAUCUCUGUUGGAAAAGGAAAUUGUUGUCAUGGUUUUGUAAUCAGUCUAAAGUCUUCUUCUCAUGUCUCUGCAUGUUGUUGAGACUAUGUACUUUCAUGUUUUAGAUAGAUGGAACCUCUACUAUAGAAGUUAUAAGUUCGCUUAUAAUACCGAAACAAAUCGUAGACAGGAUCCACAUGAGUAGCUUAGGAAUCUUGUGUAAUCGUGGGGAGGUUGAUUAAACUAAUCAUGAUUUAGACUCACUUAAAGUCUCCUUUGAAUGUAACAAUGGCAAGUAGCUGCAUCAUACUCAAAUAAGAUGUCAUGAUCCACCAAUUUAGUUGAAAUUACAUAUUUAGAAGUGAACGUGUUAAUGAACAGAACUGAAUCCCACAACAGAAGGCAAGCCAACUCAUUUUGCUUUUAUGUGAGUGUGUUGAUUAUUGAUAAACUCAUCUCUGACAUUGUCAGUCUUCCAUGUGCAUGCCCUUUGGUUUCUUAAUAAGCUGUAUAAUUGCAGGUUAACCUAGAUGUAAACCAAGAUGUGAACUAGAUGUAAAAAGUAAAUAACUUGGUUGGGAUAGAAACUGCAGUAAAUUAAAAGAGAGACAUAGUUUUAUCAGGAACUUGGAGCCAUGUAGAUUGAUGGAUUCACUAUUCAUUAUCAAAAUUGUUUCUUUACAGUUGGGUUUCUAAUGAUGAUAUAAUUACAAGAUGUUGAGAAUGGAGGCUCUUGUUUUGAUCAAGCACCUAAAGAGGGACUCAACUCCUUCUUCAAGAUCUUGAAUGCAUUGCUGCAAGUUCUUCAGAGGAGCUUGGAUUUCCUCACUGGAUUUGCUUGUCUUCAAACAGGCAUCCACUUCUGCAAAUUCGUUUUCUGAUGCUGCAAUAACUCUUUUUGCCAUCAGCUUGGAGACCAAAGACCAGCUGCUUGACUUGGAGUUUGAUUGAGAAAUGAAUGACAACAGGUUCUCCAACACCUCAACAACAAUUGAUUCAGCUUCUCUUAACAUGUCGAUUGCAUCGAUGUUGUUGGAAGAAGUAGAUUUCUUGGUUUCAUAACCCUUCAAGGCCUUUUGGAUUGCUUUCUUCACAGUCUUCCUUGAGUUGAGGUACCUUCUGGUUUCUGCUACCAGAUCUCCUUGCCUUCUACGAAUUGCGGAUUGAAGUUCACAAACUGACUCUUUUGUU
rnacentral:lncRNA from 1 species